CAGGCAGCAGGCCUUGCGAGCCUCCUGUGAUCAUAGACUUCUCUGGGGAAUGAAACAGCUGCUGAUAGGGACUGACUUCCUCAGUCACAAGUGUUUCACAAGUGUGUUGGUUCAGAGGAGGGACCAGGCAGAAGGUGGUUGACAGGCAGAGCUGCCCCUGAGUGAGCCAUGCAGAGGAUCUCCUCCCUCAUCCAUCUCUCCCUCUUCUGGGCAGGAGUCAUGUCAGCCAUUGAGUUGGUGCCUGAACCCCAAACAGUGAUUGUGUCAGUGGGGGACCCUGCCACCCUCAGGUGCUCCAUGAAAGGAGAAGCAAUCAGUAACUACUAUAUCAACUGGUACAGGAAGACCCAAGGUAACACAAUGACUUUCAUAUACCGAGAAAAGGGCAUCUAUGGCCCUGGUUUCAAGGACAAUUUCCAAGGUGACAUCGAUACUGAAGAGAACCAGGCUGUACUUAAGAUCCUUGCACCAUCAGAGAGAGAUGAAGGGUCUUACUACUGUGCCAGUGACAACGUCCUCAAGUGCUGUGACACUGAUAAACUCAUCUUUGGAAAAGGAACCCGUGUGACUGUGGAACCAGAAAGACAACCUCAUACCAAGCCAUCCGUUUUCGUCAUGAAAAAUGGAACAAAUGUCGCUUGUCUGGUGAAGGACUUCUACCCCAAGGAUAUAAGAAUAAAUCUCGAGUCAUCCAAGAAGAUAACAGAGUUUGAUCCUGCUAUUGUCGUCUCUCCCAGCGGGAAGUACAAUGCUAUCAAGCUUGGUCAAUAUGGAGAUUCAAAUUCAGUGACAUGUUCAGUUCAACACAACAAGGAACUUGUUUACUCCACUGACUUUGAAGUGAAGACAAAUUCUACAGAUCACCCAAAACCAACGGAAACUGAAAACACAAAGCAACCUUCAAAGAGCUGCCAUGAACCCAAAGUUCAUGCCGAGAAGGUGAACAUGAUGUCUCUCACAGUGCUGGGACUACGAAUGCUGUUUGCAAAGAGUGUUGCCAUCAAUUUUCUCUUGACUGCCAAGUUACUUUUCUUGUAAGGCUGACUGGCAUGAGAAAGCUACACUCCUGAAGAAACCAAAGGCUUACAAAAAUGCAUCUCCUUGGCUUCUGACUUCUUGAUGAUUCAAGUGGACCUGUCAUAGCCUUGUUAAAAUGGCUGCUAGCCCAACCAAUUUUUCUUCGAAGACAACAAACCCAGCUCAUCCUCCGGCUUGGUGGGAAGACAAAAGUCCUGGGGAAGGGGGAUUUAUGUCCUAACUGCUUUAUAUGCUGUUUUGAUACAGGGAUAGAAGGAUACAAAAAGAUAUAGGACACUUUUGUUACUCCUACAACUGAUACACUUUGAAAACGACGUUUUGUUCUUUUUGACUUUCUUUACCUUUUGAAGUAGAAAGUGAGAACCAAAAGGUUCACAGCUUCAUUCCUCAUGAGGAAAAUAGGCCCUGGGAGAAGAGCGGGUGCCCUUUUAUCUAAACAUGGAAGACUCUGUUCAACUGAGCACUGGAUUUGCUACAAACCAGCAUCAUCUUCUUCCUCCUGUCCUCACAGCUCGUCCCAUUCUCUAUGUUCACUUCAGAGCCACACUAGAGAUUCUGCAUGGCAUGGAAGCGGGCAAAGUUUUAGCACUUUCUGCAUCUCCUAGUACUUUACAAAUGAAAUUACAUUUGAAUUCGCUAAUACUUUAUGAGCAGGCAAUGGGGUUUCCAAAAUCUCAUCUAAAUACUCUCUAGACUAUUAGCAAAAAUCAGAGUAAAAUACAGAGGAAAGGCACUGCUUUCUGUUAAUUGAUUUAACAUGCAUAAAUUAGCUUGCUCUGAGUUCCAGGCACUGUACUGAGAGUACAAAGAAGACAUAAGUCUGCUUUCAAGCAACUCCCUGUGAAAGUGUUUUUGAAGGGAGGAACAGAAAUGAGACCCCUAUCUUUCUCUACAAAAACAACAUUUUUACUGUCUUUUGCCUGCCAAUCUGUGUUUGAAACCAUUGCACACUGAUUCUCUGGCCUGGUACUUUGGUAUUGAUGGUUUUCUGCCUUUCUUCUCAGCUCCUGCCUCUGUUGCAUUUAUUAAACUGCAUUGUGUGCA